CUCUUCUAAUUCGUAAUGUUAACAGUGUGUUGUGUAAAUGGUCACUGAUGUCCUCUUGAUCCAAUCUUUCUCUGGCCACAGAGGCGUUCUAUUUAAAUGGGGAUUUGUUUUUGUUUUCUUUUUAAUUGAAGAAAAGUCUGGAUUGAGCUGGAGGGGGGUCCGAGCACUGAUGGAGCUGUGGGUGUCUCUGUGCACUGCAAGGAAUGGGACCAGAUGGCUGGCCUUCGGGGGUCCUUCCAACUCAAACCAUUCUGUGGGUCCGAACCUGAAACGCAGCAGAGCAUAGAGAGCGCUGUAAAUGACAGCAACACCAGUGCACAGAGGCACUGUGAGUGUAUUCAUGCCAGGGUUGCACAAAGGUAUUUCCCACUGAGGUUGCCAUGUGCCUGCUGGACGAUGUACCUGUCAGGAGCAGCACUGUACACUAAUUACUGCUGUAAUCACAUUGGAUUCCAUUUGCGGCCGACCCUUUUUAUCACAGCUUUGUCAUCACGUUUAUACACAGCCUCUUCUCUGGGGAGACAGCCUGGGCUCUGCACCGCGGCUGUGAUGAGAGCUGCACAGCGUGGCUGUGGAAGGAGGAAACUCACUGCUGCCAGUGCUGCGUUCCCACUGCCUGGAGCUCCCACCACUGCCGUGUGACCUCAGGCCGAUGUGCCAUCACAGCUCUGCUCCAACUCCAGGGCUGUUGUCUCAGUGGCUUAUCCUGCAACAAUUCACGCACACCAGCUUCCAUGUGGAAGAAGCGCUGUCAGAAGAACUGCAAAGGAGAACACACACGUGUGGGAUGGAGACUCCCUCGGUCCAUUGGCUGAACACCCCAAAUGUUCCAGGACCCUGAGCUCCCAUCUGUGCCCAGCAGCAGAGCCCUGCACUGUGCACACCAACAGAGCGCUGGGGCUGUCGCUGCCACCGGAGCUCAGCAAUCAACUGUGUGGGCUCAUUACCACCGAGAAUCUAAGGAAAAACCACACAUAACUGUACAAAACAAGCCCAUAUGCUGGAAAACUUCAGCUCGCCGUUAGCAAGAGGUCUUUUAAGCUGUUCCAUCAAGCAGAGGCACGGCUUGCUUUCCUGUGCCGCUCACACCUCAGCUCUGUAAGGUUAAGAUCAGCCUUCAGGUGUAUCAGUGUAACUACUGAAAGGCACAACGGAGGGAUAAAAGUGAAACGGAUGACACGUGUUCAGCAG